GACGUAGGGCGCGAGCGUUGUCCGGAAUUAUUGGGCGUAAAGCGCGCGCAGGCGGUUUCUUAAGUCUGAUGUGAAAGCCCACGGCUCAACCGUGGAGGGUCAUUGGAAACUGGGAGACUUGAGUGCAGAAGAGAAGAGUGGAAUUCCACGUGUAGCGGUGAAAUGCGUAGAGAUGUGGAGGAACACCAGUGGCGAAGGCGACUCUUUGGUCUGUAACUGACGCUGAGGCGCGAAAGCGUGGGGAGCAAACAGG
rnacentral:rRNA from 1 species